AGAUGUCUGUAAGCAAUUCGUAAGUUGUUUCAAAAUGUGUGGCGCUUCCAACACUACUUUGAGGCAGGUAGUAGGUGAGUCAAGUUUCCAUGACAUCUGCUUAUGACUACUGGAUAAAGAUUCUUAAAAAUCAUUCAAAUUCAGGCUGAUUCACUAAAUAAUAUAGACUGAUUUGAGGACCAGUUUGGUUCACAUCCACAACUUGUUCAGGCCUCAAAGUCAUGUUUGAAAAGUAUUUCUUGGAGAUUUAUUUGGUGGCACAGAAAUUAUACUGCACCGUUGAAGGUGUAUUAGAUCUUUAACAUUUUACUGGCCAAUAGAAAACUGUUCCAUAAUGACAACUGCAUGUGACAUCACCCUUGAUUUAUGAUUUAGUAUUGCAGCAGUACUAAGCCAUCUCAAGAUAGUCCACCUUUAUGUAAAAUAAAACUACUUUUUCAAGGCCA